AUGCCUCUCUCCAGUCUGCUCUGGGUGCUCCUGGCCUUCACCUUCUCUGGAUCUGGUGUGGCCCAGAAAGUUACUCAAGACCAGCCAGACAUAUCCAGUCAAGUUGGGGAGUCAGCCACCAUGAACUGUCAGUAUGAGACAAGUUGGAGCAGCUAUAACAUUUUUUGGUAUAAGCAACUUCCCCGUGGAGAGAUGAUUUACCUUAUUGGUCAGAAUUCUUAUAGCCCGAAUGCAAGGGAUGGCCGCUACUCCAUAAAUUUUCAGAGAUCACGUAAAGCCAUCAGCCUCAUUAUCUCAGCCUUAAAUCUGGAAGACUCUGCAAAGUAUUUCUGUGCUCUUUGGGAACUCACAGUGGUUGAAGUGAUAGGAAAAGCUGAACAAAAACUCCUGAGCUGGAUAAGAGAGAAGACCCCCUCCCCCACAACCCCACUCCCUCCCACCCCUGCUGCAGCACUACCGCCAAAAUACACACCUGCAGACCCCAGACAAGAAAUGAUAGUCCUGUGCUUGUUUCAUCUGUGGUCUGGAUCAGAAGAUUUAAUACUAAAAGAAAGCUCCUUCCAUGUCAUUUGGAAGCAGGUGUCCAGGGUAACUGUCUACUGCUAUAUCCUCAUCUUGAAUUUUUGA